UACAGAGGGGGCAAGCGUUGUUCGGAAUUACUGGGCGUAAAGGGCGCGUAGGUGGCCUUCUAAGUUGAACGUGAAAUCCCUGGGCUCAACCCAGGAACUGCGUCCAAGACUGGGAGGCUUGAAUCCGGGAGAGGGAUGCGGAAUUCCAGGUGUAGCGGUGAAAUGCGUAGAGAUCCGGAAGAACACCGGUGGCGAAGGCGGUCUGCUGGGCAGUUGCUGACGCUGAUGCGCGACAGCGUGGGGAGCAAACAGG
rnacentral:rRNA from 1 species